GUUCCCUGCAGUGCAGCAGUGCUGACUGAAGUACAAGUGAGCACAGAGGGAGGGAGAAGCUUCAAGAGGUCAGGUUUGCUCUGGAAAAGCUGAAAAGAAAUUGUGUAGAUCUCCAUGAAAAACUAAGACAUGGCUACAGACUCAUGGUAAUCCCUGCUGGCUGGCCUCAGGGUGAGAUCUAUCCUGACUUCACUUGUCCUGCUGAAUGGGGACAACUGUGCAGCCAGAAAUGCAAGACAGCAAAUGACAGGGAAGCCAUCACAAUGGUUUAGUGGCCAGGACACCUCGACAAGACCAGAUGAAGAUGUAAAAUUCUCAAAUGUGCAUGGAUGGAGCUAAAUAGAGUUUGCCAACAGAUCAUCUUAAAUGAGAUUAUAUGGCAUAUGUUGGACAACAGAGGGAUCAGGCCCAGUCAGCAUGGGUUCAUGAAUGGUUUUCUGUAGUGCAAUGGACAGAAUUCAUCAUCAGGCUGAACACCCUGAAAAAACAGUGAUACAUACCUGAUGUAACAAGUAAACCAAGCUACACUCCACUCCUUACUUGGGAUUUCCAUUUUACACUACAAAUACUGCAGCAAAUGGAAAAAAAUGAACCCCACUGAAAUUGAUGCCUGCUUUCAAGCAUUGACAGAACUGUGCUGUAAAUGUACAUGGCAAUCCCAUCUACCUCCUCCA